rnacentral:rRNA from 1 species
UACGUAGGGUGCGAGCGUUGCCCGGAUUUAUUGGGCGUAAAGGGCGCGUAGGCGGCCACGCACGUCCGUUGUGAAAUCGCCCGGCUCAACUGGGCGGGGUCAGCGGAUACGGUGUGGCUCGAGCAAGCUAGGGGGCAAUGGAAUUCCCGGUGUAGUGGUGGAAUGCGUAGAUAUCAGGAGGAAUACCGAUGGCGAAGGCAGGUCUCUGGGCUGAUACUGACGCUCAUGCACGAAAGCGUGGGGAGCAAACAGG